rnacentral:rRNA from 1 species
AAUAGAUACCCAGGUAGUCCACGCCGUAAACGAUGGGCACUAGGUGUGGGGCUCAUUCCACGAGUUCCGUGCCGCAGCAAACGCAUUAAGUGCCCCGCCUGGGGAGUACGGCCGCAAGGCUAAAACUCAAAGGAAUUGACGGGGGCCCGCACAAGCGGCGGAGCAUGCGGAUUAAUUCGAUGCAACGCAAAGAACCUUACCAAGGCUUGACAUGCACGGGAAGCCACCAGAGAUGGUGGUCUCUUUGGACACUCGUGCACAGGUGGUGCAUGGUUGUCGUCAGCUCGUGUCGUGAGAUGUUGGGUUGAGUCCCGCAACGAGCGCAACCCUCGUCCCAUGUUGCCAGCGGGUUAUGCCGGGGACUCAUGGGAGACUGCCGGGGUCAACUCGGAGGAAGUGGGGAUGACGUCAAAUCAUCAUGCCCCUUAUGUCUUGGGCUUCACGCAUGCUACAAUGGCCGGUACAAAGGGCUGCGAUACCGUAAGGUGAGCGAAUCCCAAAAAGCCGGUCUCAGUUCGGAUU